rnacentral:rRNA from 1 species
AUGCAAGUUCGAGCGGAUGAGGGGAGCUUGCUCCCUGAUUUAGCGGCGGACGGGUGAGUAAUGCCUAGGAAUCUGCCUGGUAGUGGGGGAUAACGUUCCGAAAGGAACGCUAAUACCGCAUACGUCCUACGGGAGAAAGCAGGGGACCUUCGGGCCUUGCGCUAUCAGAUGAGCCUAGGUCGGAUUAGCUAGUUGGUGAGGUAAUGGCUCACCAAGGCGACGAUCCGUAACUAGUCUGAGAGGAUGAUCAGUCACACUGGAACUGAGACACGGUCCAGACUCCUACGGGAGGCAGCAGUGGGGAAUAUUGGACAAUGGGCGAAAGCCUGAUCCAGCCAUGCCGCGUGUGYGMAGAAGGUCUUCGGAUUGUAAAGCACUUUAAGUUGGGAGGAAGGGCAUUAACCUAAUACGUUAGUGUUUUGACGUUACCAACAGAAUAAGCACCGGCUAACUUCGUGCCAGCAGCCGCGGUAAUACGAAGGGUGCAAGCGUUAAUCGGAAUUACUGGGCGUAAAGCGCGCGUAGGUGGUUCGUUAAGUUGGAUGUGAAAGCCCCGGGCUCAACCUGGGAACUGCAUCCAAAACUGGCGAGCUAGAGUACGGUAGAGGGUGGUGGAAUUUCCUGUGUAGCGGUGAAAUGCGUAGAUAUAGGAAGGAACCACCCAGUGGCGAAGGCGACCCACCCUGGACCUGAUACUGACCU